rnacentral:rRNA from 1 species
AUCUAUACCUUGGGAAAGUGCUCCUGAAGGGUCCUCCAGUGGGUAGGAUCAUGAUGAGAGCGAGUUUACCCAAAGUAUGGAUACCCUGACCGAUCAAAAAUGCAACCGAGCGGUUCGGAUAGUGUUGGGAGGAGGAAAUGGGCCCGAACCCUGGCCGAUACGGAUCUUCUGUAUCCGCCUCAAACAGACGAGUUAUGUUUUGUUGUUUAGUUUAAACCCAAACAGGUCGUUCAUGGUAUUAUUAUAGAACAUCGUUCAAGAAUAUCUUCCACGUUUAUUGUUACUCGUUUAUGGACUUUUACGUUUAGAAAUUCCCCCUCUACGUUUAAACUACCAGAUUCGUCGUGUUGUUGACUUAUAUAAUCGGUGAAAUGUAUCAAAAGAAAAGUAUAAUAUAGGUUGUAACGGUCUUUCACUUUCCUCAGAAGUUCCACAAUCAUAUUUUAUAGAAAGCAUGUUGAACCUACACCGUUAGAAGACUGUGUUUCGAAGAAGUCAUAAUAAUGAACUUCGUCUUAACUCCUAAUACUUUAACAUGGGUGAUGGGUAUCAUUCUAGUUUCUUUACUCACCAAAGGAAAAGAAUAAGGAUCGACCUUGUACCUUUUACGGUCGGAACUAGGUCGUAAUUUUACACUAUGCGAUAUUUUUCUAAUGUUAAAUUUUCUAUUCGUAAAGAAGUUUAUCAUAUUCGAAUGGUCCAAAUCUUUGAGAGUCAAACUUCUACUUGUAAGUUUAUA